AUACGGUAUCUGUUUGCCUUCUUCGCUGCUAAGUUUUUCGCGGAUAACAGCACAGUUUCGAUAAAUUCCGGUUAAACCCAGGAUUUCACGAUGCCACAUUCGACAAUCUUGGUGGUGGUUCCGAGAAAUCCAUUGCUGAUGUGCAGCAGUCGGAACGGAACGCUUGUGCUGUGCGAUGCAAUUCGAUCCAUUACAGUCAGGACCAAUUCUGCGAUGAUGUUUAGUUGCUCUCCCAGAUUUAGAAUCGGCCCAUGUUGAUUGAUGAUUGCACCCGAAGAAACAUUCACUGUCGGUUUAUGUUUCCUGGCUGGCGUUCCCGAUAUCAGAUGUUCUGCAGCAACAUCUGACGAACCGUCGCAUGGUGCUACUUUGGUUUAGAAGUCUCCAUAGUAAACCUUAGCUGAUCAGGCCAAGUUCGACUAUUCUGCCUAGAGCCUUUGGAGGACAGUUGAAUGCAAGU